rnacentral:tRNA from 1 species
ACUGGGCUGGUUCAUUCGGGAGAGCACGUGACUCUUGAUCUUGGGGUUGUGAGUUUGAGCCCCACGUUCGGUG